rnacentral:rRNA from 1 species
GAGCAGGGGGGCCCUGGCCAUGGCCCACAAAAUCAUUUUUCCCUCCUAGGCCUCUGGCCCUCUGAGGGGAGGGGCUGCUGUGAAGGUCUCUGACAUGCCCUGGAGACAUUUUCCCCAUUGUCUUGGUGACUAGCACUUGGCUCCUUGUUACUUAUCCAAAUUUCUGCAGGAGGCUUGAAUUCUUCCCCAAGAAAUAGAUUUUUCUUUUCAUAGCUAGAAUUCAAUAGAGGAAAAUAGAACGUUAAGAGUAGAGAUGAUAUUUGUUGAUACUUAACGGAAUACUAAAGGCGAAAGCAAUUUUCCAGGUAAGAAUUGACGCUGAGAGAUGAAAGUUUGGGGAGCGAAACAGAUUAGCUACCUGAGUAGUCCAAACCGUAAACUAUUUACACUGACCCUUUGGUUCAUAGUAAUAUGAGAAAAUAAUCAGAGGGAAAGCGAAAGGCUGUAUGUGUAACACCUUGUUAGUAAUGCCGCAAGGUUGAAAGCAAAAAGAUUAGACCAUCCUUAAGAACCGGUGUGGAGCAUGUUGUUUAAUACGAAAAUACGCGUAAAACCUUACCUCUCCUUGUAUAUCUUAGUAUCGUCAUUUUUUCUAAAAAUGAUAAAUAAGAUACAGGCGUUGCAUGGCUGUCGUCAGUUCGUGUCGUAAGAUGUUAGGUUCAGUCCGCUAACGAACGCAAUCCAUGGAAGGAAUCAAUUCUUUCUUCUAUCAACUUGAUAAAAGUGAUAUGAUGGAUUACGAUAAGUCGUCAUGACCCUUAUGGAGUAUGGGCUACAGACGUGCUACUAAAAUCUAACAAUAAGAGGCAAAAUCGUAAGAUUGAGCAAAUCUAUGAAAUAAGAUUCGAUAAGGAUUGUGGACUGAAAUUCGUCCACAUGAAUCAGGAAUACCGAGUAAUCGUUUAUUAGUAUGAAACGGUGAACCACUCAUUAGGGAGAUACUAACUGUCUAUCACAUCUUGGUUUUGUUUGACUACGGAACUCGGAAUGUCAAUGAAGAGGACGUUUAGAAUAGAACUGAGGUGAAGUUAUAGCAAGGUAGCCGUAAGGGAACUUGCGGCUG